GGGGGCGAAUUGGAAUCGACCGGAUAGCCUGAAGUGUAAGUGGCGUGUCGAGGUUGGUCAGUGGGCCUCGUUAAAAGCUGACUACAACUAUAAUUGCCGAGAAUAAUACUCUCGUCCUUGCUGCCUAGUUAAAUAGGUUAGCUUGCCGGUUGAAGGUCUUUGUCGGAGAGAUCUGAAAACCGGUCGCCAAUUCCGACUCGUCUUCAGUCACGCAAAGCACGCUGAAGACUAAAUCAAGUUCCUUGCUAGUGGGCGGCGUAUCUCGUCGAUUGGAGACGUCGCCUGCAAAAAUCAAAUAAUCGACUACACACGUAGAUGCUUGCAUGAAAAUGUCGCGGGACGCGGGUUCAAAUCCCGCCGCCUCCACUU
rfam:Blastopirellula marina DSM 3645 scf_1099463000751 genomic scaffold, whole genome shotgun sequence.